rnacentral:rRNA from 1 species
AUUGAACGCUGGCGGCAGGCCUAACACAUGCAAGUCGAACGAGUGGCGGACGGGUGAGUAAUGUCUGGGAAACUGCCCGAUGGAGGGGGAUAACUACUGGAAACGGUAGCUAAUACCGCAUACCAUCGGAUGUGCCCAGAUGGGAUUAGCUUGUAGGUGAGGUAACGGCUCACCUGGGCGACGAUCCCUAGCUGGUCUGAGAGGAUUACCAGCCACCCUGGAACUGGUACACGGUCCGGCCUACUAAGGGAGACAGCAGUGGUGAAUAUUGCACAAUGGGCGCAAGCCGGAGGCAGCCAUGCCGCGUGUAUGAAGAAGGCCUUCGGGUUGUAAAGUACUUUCAGCGGGGAGGCGUUACCCGCAGAAGAAGCACCGGCUAACGCCGUGCCAGCAGCCGCGGUAAUAC